UACAGAGGGGGCAAGCGUUGUUCGGAAUUACUGGGCGUAAAGGGCGCGUAGGCGGCCGCCUAAGUCAGACGUGAAAUCCCUCAGCUUAACUGGGGAACUGCGUCCGAUACUGGAUGGCUUGAGUUUGGGAGAGGGAUGCGGAAUUCCAGGUGUAGCGGUGAAAUGCGUAGAUAUCGCUUGGAACGCCGACGGUGAAAACAGCUUGCUGGGGGUGUGCUGACGCUGAGACACGAAAGCCAGGGGAGCAAACGGG
rnacentral:rRNA from 1 species